AUUGAACGAUGGCGGCGUGCUUAACACAUGCAAGUCGAUCGGUAACGCGGGGGCAACCCUGGCGACGAGAGGCGGACGGGUGAGGAACGCUUGGGAAUCUGCCUAUCAGCGGGGGACAACCCGGGGAAACUCGGGCUAAUACCGCAUACGCUCUACGGAGGAAAGCCGGGGACCGCAAGGCCUGGCACUGAUAGAUGAGCCCAAGUCGGAUUAGCUAGUUGGCGGGGUAACGGCCCACCAAGGCGACGAUCCGUAGCUGGUCUGAGAGGACGAUCAGCCACACUGGGACUGAGACACGGCCCAGACUCCUACGGGAGGCAGCAGUGGGGAAUAUUGGACAAUGGGGGAAACCCUGAUCCAGCGACGCCGCGUGGGUGAAGAAGGCCUGCGGGUUGUAAAGCCCUUUCGGUAGGGACGAAAGCUCUCGACCUAACACGUCGGGAGGUUGACUUAACCUACAAAAGAAGCACCGGCUAACUCUGUGCCAGCAGCCGCGGUAAAAC
rnacentral:rRNA from 1 species